rnacentral:lncRNA from 1 species
ACUUUGGCCACCUCAUGCGAAGAACUGACUCAUUGGAAAAGACCCUGAUGUUGCUAAAGACUGAAGGUGGGAGGAGAAAGGGACAACAGAGGAUGAGAUGGCUGGGUGGCAUGAGUUUGAGUGGGCUCUGGGAGUUGGUGAUGGACAGGGAGGCCUAGCGUGCUGCAGUCCACACGGCCGCAGAGUUGGACACGACUGAGCGACUGACCUGAGCUAUGCACGAGAAGAUGCAAGGUUCUGGCUCACUGAAAUCAUUCUUUGGAUAUACACCUCAGAUAUCUGCAGCCAGUAUGCUGUGUUUUCACAUCCUGAGUGUCCUCAGGGCUCACCGCGGAGCGUGGCUGCAGUCUGACGGCUGCUGGAUGGCAGCUGUCCUUUCUUUCCUGAGUUUCCCCAGGGCUCGCCAGCUCGACAUCCAUGGUGGCUGCAAUUGCUGGUGACUGUGACACCCUAGUUUACUUACAUGGCAGGAAACAGUCCAUUUCUCGGCUUGAAUGUGUGGUCUCAGCAUCCCUGGCCAGGUUGUUCCCCACACGUCAAUCAGGGCACCUCACGCCACACGCUUAACCCUCCAACACUUCAGCCUCGGUCUCCAGGUCCACUGGCCCCAGUGAGCUCCCCAUGGGUAGCGAGAAUGUCUCGUCUGCCUCCAUCCUUGGCACCAGCAUGGAGCAGCCACACUGCUCAGCUCAGAGGAAGCUGAGCUGUGUCCUGGUUUGAAAUGCACCAAGUCCUGCGGCUGGCUGUGCAGCACUGCCCAGAGGGGUUGAUCCGCUGUCUCCGGGAAGGACUGUAUCAUACCUUCUGCCCUUUCCUUAAACAUCCUUCCUCUUGGCAUGCAAUAUCAGGGCAGAGGGGGCCUCUCAGCUCCCACAGGCCAGAGCACAGCGGUCCUGCUGCAGCUGUCAGCUCCUGUCCGCUGCCCACAGGAAGGGCAAGCUGCACCACCUGGGGAGGCACCACUCCCCCCAGCCCCAGAGGGCCUGGCUGGCAGGAGGUGGUAUAUAAACACCCCGGCUCCCUCAGCUCCAGGCGGGAGCUCAGGCUCGGUCUCUAGCCUGGCUCCCAGAUAACACCCCUUAACGAAGUCACUCCUGUCCGCUGUAUUCACAUUGCCGCCGGCUCCUUCUGCCUCCCAGGGACUGUAGCGGAGGCACACCCUCCUUCCCCUGCCCACUCCCUCUUACCUUCCUUAGGCCUUCACAGCCCUGGCACCAGCCACCACCCCCAUUUCCAACAAGCUCUGGCAUCUCUCAUCUAAAAGGAAAAGCCACCUUUACACCACUCGCUGGAUAGUGCAAUAAAUUAAAAGCCUGAAUACACUCUAGAAGGUUAAAAACACUACACAAAUAUAAUGUGCCCUGAUUUGAAAUGAGUGUCAAAGUGAUGUGGUGGCUCUGCGUCCCUGAAAACAGCUUAUGUUCUGAAGAUCUGUGAUUGCUUCUCUUCAAUCGUGUUUAUGCUAUCACCCUUAGCAAUCCUGACUUUGUAGAAAAUAAGAGGGUUAGCUCUAACUUGCCCUCAAUUUAAAUCAUAACAAAUUCUGAGUGAACUCUUUAAAAAAACAAAAACGCCUGCUCUUACAGAGGCUUUCUGUCUUAUCUGAAGGAGCCAACAUGUUGGAUUGUACAUAGACCCCUUUAAACCCAUGCCUGGUAUCUUUCAGCCCCCUGAGGUCACUUUCCAAGCCUGGUCUGUCUCCCCUGGACUAUACAGUGGGGUGGGUUUGUGACGAAUGAUGGCAAAUUAGGGCAAUAUCAACCCCAAGAACACCCAGGAACAUCAUAUCUUUAAGCUGUCUUUUUAAAAAAGCAUUUUAACUGGGGUAAAAUAUACAUGUAACCACUUGAAAAUGUGCGAUCCAAUGGCUUCAAGUACUUUCUCAGUGUUGUGUGUCUAUGUUUUAUCUGUUUACAAAAGACACACAAACAUUUAUUGUUCUGAGAAACAGGUACGGACUUCCCUGGAGGUCCAGUAGUUAAGAAUCCACCUGCCAGUGCUGGGGACACGGGUUCGGCCCCUGGUCUGGGAAGUUUCCACGUGCCGCAGAGCAUCUAAGCCGCAGCUACUGAAUGUCACUGCAGAGCCUGUGCUCUGAAACGAGGGAGGCCGCCGCAGCGAGAAGCCUGUGCUCCCUAAGCAGGCAUAGCCCCUGCCCGUCGCAACUAGAGAAGGCCCACGCAUAGCAACGAAGGCCCAGGGCAGCCAAAAAUAAAUCAACAUACACUCUUUCUAAUUCUUCAAAAGCAAACAAAAAAAGUUAUUGCAGAACAUAUGAAUGGGAAAAUAUAGAAAAAUCCGAAGGAGGCAGUGGAAGUCACUCCCACCCCAAAAUAAUCCGUCACUGCCUUUGACAUCUGUAUUUCUAGUCUCUCAUUACCCAUAAUUAAAAAAUUUAAAAGCAGGGUCUUACUCUGUAUUUACUGUAGAAUCGACCUUUCCUGCUAUCAGAAUAUGGUGACUACUUUCAAGCUUGAAGGAUGUAUUGCUGGAUUUCUUUUCAUCGUGUCCGACUCNNNNNNNNNNNNNNNNNNNNNNNNNNNNNNNNNNNNNNNNNNNNNNNNNNNNNNNNNNNNNNNNNNNNNNNNNNNNNNNNNNNNNNCUUCUCCAGGGGAUCUUCCCGACCCAGGGAUUGAACCCGGGCCUCCUGCAUUGGAAUCAGACGCUUUAACCUCUGAGCCACCAGGGAGGAUAAAAUACACAUAGCCCAAAACUCACCGGUCUAGCCAUUUCUUCAGGUGUGCCGGUCAGAGGCAGUAAGUACGCCUCCGUGGUUUGCACCCGUCCCCAUCAUCCAUCGCCUGAACUUCUUCAUCAUCCCAAACCGAAACUCCGUGCUCGUUAAACCCUGAGGCCCGUUCCUCGCUCCCCACCCCCGCCCCUGGUAAGUAAAAGGUGUCUUUGACUUUGGAAAACAUCCCUUACAAGAAUAAGGAAGUUCUCUGCUCCGUCAGCACAGAUGAUUAGAAGUGUGCCUUAAGCACAAAAACACACUGGGCUUCAUUCAUUCUGGAAAGUUCCACAAACUACGCAGAGCCCAGCUCAGUGGGAUACUCUGGGGCAAAAUAAUCAAUAGCUCAUUUAUCCAAGAUGUUAUGGCCCCUUCCUCAUUCCCAUGGGGAAAGACAAAGGGAAAAGUGAGCUCUCUGUUCCCCAUGAACUGGCUCCCUCCUCACCCUACACUCAUUACUCUGAGUGCCUUAACAGAAAUAUAGCUGGGAGAAAGUCAAGGAAUAAAACAUGUUAACUAUUGUCUUACGUUGUGGGUCCUAAUUAUGCAAUUAUGUGCCCUUAAGAUGGAUGCUGAUUCCCACUGCUGGGCAUACACACCGAGGAAACCAGAAUUGAAAGAGACA